CGGAGCUAAAGAGAGAGAGAGAGAGAGAGAAACCUGUUUGAGUGAUCGGGGCUCGCCCCUCCAAGAUCAGAAGAGAAAAAAGUGAAGUAGGAUGGUUGGAUCUGACUUUUACUGCAGGACGGGGGUGUAGGAUCAGGAGUGAUCUUUGACCAGUUACCUUCAGAUUAGAUCUUCCUGAGGGGGCGGGGCCUGAAAAGCCCAGGGUUGUCAAAAUGGCAGCAACGUCCUCCUUGCAGAGUAAAGGUCUGGGUCUGGUUCUGGUGGAAUUUGGGUACGAGUACGAGGGUCGGGAUGGGGCGCUGGUCACAAUCAAACCCAAUGAGCGCUACAUCCUCCUGGCGAAGACCAACAACCACUGGUGGCAGGUCCAGGAGGAUCGCAGCUCCAAGCCCUUUUACAUUCCGGCCAAGUACGUUAAAGAGCUGCCGUUGGAGUUACCCUCUCCUCUGGACUUUGCUGAUCCUCCCAGUCCCGAACUGGUGCUGCCUGUCGUGACUCCAAUCCCUGUGGCGGUGCCUGUCCCCAUCCCAAAGCCUCUAGAAGAGUCCAGAACCAAACCAAGUGAUGACAUGACCAUCAGACUCACACCCGAUGCGGUCAAAAGGCACCACAAAAAUGAAAAUCGGAUGUCUACAUUUGGCGUCCCGCUCGACUUCCAAGAUGCGGCACCUCGGCUACCUGGGGCCCCUGCUGGUCCUGCAGAGCCCGGGUCAACAGCAAACAACAGAACUGCAAACUCCGCCGAUGGCAAGAAGCCGCCCCACCUGUCAGGCUACGUGGAGGACGCCAGGGACGCCGGGAAACCUCGCGUUCCCAGCUUCAGUCCGGCAGACCCCCUCUCAGUGCCCCGGCCCCAAGCCCAGCCCAUCCGGGUAGAGACACCAGUGAUCCCGCCCCACAGCAGCCUCCACAACAUGUCCUCAUCCCCAGCAGGACGUCCGGAUGGCCACGAGUCUCCAAUAGAGUCAGAUGAGGAGGAGCUGGCAGAGGAAGAAGCAAGCGUGGAGGAGAGCGUGGAGGAGAGCGGUGAGGAGGGGCGGGACUCAGUGAAGGGCGAGGAUUCACACCACAUCUACGAGUCCAUCCAGGACCUGAACCUGGACCUGGAGGCUCUGGUCGGAGCGAGAGCGAGCCCUGCAGCACAGGUCGAGCCUGCAACACCUGAGGCUGCACCAGCCCCACCUCCCACACAGGACCAAAGCUUGCCCGACCCUCUGUCGCCCAUCUACGCCAACGUCCCAUCUCUGAAGAAAUUGGCUCCGCCUCAGGGCCCUUCUGGCUCCUCCCUCUCCUCUCCACCUCCCACAGACCACUCCCUCUCAACAUCAGACCACAGCCCAUCAUCUUCUACCUCCUUGGGCAUGACCAGCCCCAACUGCCCAGUCAGCGCACAGGACAGAUUGCAGGGCCACACUGAGCAGGACAGCGGGAGGCAGCCUGGAACCAACCACAUGAACAACUCUCGCAAUCCUCCACCCGUGCCGGUUAGAGACCUGGACCGGUCCAAGGGAAAAGAAGGGGGUCAGCUGACCUCCAUCUCCCCCGCCUCCUCUCAGGGCUCUGGUGGCUGGGAGAAGGUGUUUGAUGAAGUCUCAGGGAGACCUUACUACUUCAACCGCAGCACACGAACCACAUCCUGGAAUUUACCUGAGCCAUCCUCCCCGUCACCCCCACCUGGAUCUGCAACCCACAGGAAGCACGAGGGCGGCCCGCCUCCCCUGCCAGAGGAAGACUAUCCUGUAGGCGACCAUAAAGACAACAACGCCAACUUUAGAACGCAUCCUCAGCAGAGCUUGGGCCUGAUACCCAGAGCUCACCUGGACCUGAAGGAUCCUCAGAUUCCCUCAGUGCCCCAAAGUCUGAUGGGAAAUGGAGUUUGUGAGGACGGAGCAUCGCUGCAGGCCAGGAAGCUGAGAGUCAGCAUGGGAGAAGACACGUGUUCCCAUGGCCACCGGAGGAACUUCUCCGAUCACACUGACAUGAUAAGCAGACACGCCUCCCCCGACAGUCCACAGCUCUCUAAUAGGUGCAGACUGAAGAGGAAUCUGUCCAAUCAGAGCACAGGGUCCAGCUCACAGCAUGGACACCUGCUGGAGAAAGCAGGGAUUCUCAACAAGACUAAAGUGGCUGAAAAUGGAAAAAAGAUCAGGAAGAACUGGAGCCAGUCGUGGACCGUCCUGCAUGGAGGGAUCCUCACAUUCCAUAAAGACCCCCGACCAGCCGGGAAUGCUAGCAAAGCGUCACAGAUUGUUCCAGAAUACACCGUUGAACUCAGAGGAGCUUCGGUGAGCUGGGCCUGCAAAGACAAGUCAUCCAAGAAGAACGUUCUGGAGCUGAAGACACGUCAGGGCUGCGAGUAUCUGAUGCAGUACGACAAGGAGAGCAUCAUCAGCGACUGGCUAAAAGUGAUCCAGGACACCAUCGGACAGCUGGUGCCAGACGGAGCACACAGACCGGACCAGGAGCACCUAUCAGACAGUGAAGACGAUGGUUCUUCAGACAAAGAGGACAAAGACAGGAGAUCGAUAUCGAGCAGGAUCCCAUCAGGAGCUGACACGGAGCAGACGCGAGUUCGGUCCAAACUGCGACGCUUCCUGCAGCGAAGGCCGACUCUGCAGAGCGUCAAAGAGCGAGGAUACAUCAGAGACAACGUCUUUGGCUGCCACCUGGACACUCUGUGCCACCGAGAACACAGCACCAUCCCCAAGUUUGUGGAGAAGUGCAUCAGGACAGUGGAGCGCAGAGGUCUGGACGUGGACGGGAUCUACAGAGUGAGCGGAAACCUAGCCGUGAUCCAGAAACUACGACACAAAGCCGACCACGAGGAGCACUUGGACCUGGAGGACGGACAGUGGGAGGAGAUUCACGUGAUCACCGGCGCUCUCAAGCUUUUCCUGCGGGAGCUUCCAGAGCCGCUGUUUCCCUUCAGCGUCUUCGAAAAGUUCAUCGCCGCCAUCCACUCAUUGGAACGGCGCAUACAUUUGCACACACACAGUUCCUCAGUGAAGCAGGAAAACCUGGGACAUUACUUGCAGAUCUCCAUCUCUACAUGCAUCCUGACAAUCCUGCAGUUUUUACAUUACGAUUUUACUCUAACGACACCACAAGCGUAGCCGGACGUACAGCAGGCUGGAAAAAGGGCCACUUUAACAUCAUCUGAACACAAGUCAAAGUUAAGAACCGACACAACUUACAGCACUGCGCAUCACAUCAUCAUCAUCAUCAUCGCCAAGAUCACUUUUCUAGAUAUGACCCAAGGAUCUCACCACUCCAGGUCUGCUAAAUAAAAAGAUCCUUUGUAGUUAAAGCAAUCACAAUAACUCUUUUUAGGGUUAAACAAAAUAUCACACUGGGCUCCAUAACAGCACAAACUCUAAGUAAUGAUUAAGAACAUCACCCACACAGUCAUUUAACAUGACAUCAGGACACAAACUGAAGAGAACUGGAUGUUCUGACUCCAGUUAGUAAACUUUUCUUACUCUUACAGCUCGUUGUGCUGAAGCUCAUAUUCCUUUGAAUGAAGCAGACAGCAUUCUUAAGUUAUCAUUAACAAUUUUCUCAUGUUCACUUACGUUUUUGUGCAAACUCUUGGCUUUCCAGCACUAAUAAUAUUAGCCUGCAUUAAAUAUUUGUAAACUCGAACAGCUGAACACAUCUGGAGAUUUAAUACAUCACUGCUUAAACAUGAAGACUUUAUUAAAUAUUUUUAAAAAGAGUGGACUCUAUAUUUAGACUAUAAUGACACUCCCGGAACAUCAGCUCGUGUGGGACUAAUAAAGGUUAUCUUAUCUUAUCUUAUGAUGUGUUACUUUUUCUCCAAAACUCACAAUCCAAUCUCUCUGGGGUCAUUGCAUUGAUAAACUCUUUUGCAAGAAUAUCAGAUUACUCAAUUUACUGGUCAAAAUCUACAGUCCUUCCGAUGAAUUGCUCCUUCCAUAAUUCUUCUGCACGACUACAUCUGAUAAGUUGUAAAUGUGCAGAGGUUGACCGAGCAGUCGACUCUUCCAGUCAGGUCUCCUGGUGUCACGGUGACCACAGAGAAACACAAAGUAACGAGAUCGCAAUAAUCCCAGCACACGUUUGUGAUGAGCGAUACACCAAAAGUGCCGUCAUGCCUCUAAACUGUCGUAGUACAGAACCUUAGCUGUGUGUGUGUUUGCAGAAGUCCCAGACUACAACCUGAGGGUGUCCUACAUGAAGGAUCUGGUGCAGACUCUUCCUCUACCGAACCACAACACCAUGGAGCUGCUGUUCAGACACCUGCGAAAGGUGAUCGAACACAAGGACUC